GGCAGAGGAAGUUCAUCAGCGUGGUCACGUGCUCAGUGCUCACUGCCCCCGGGAAGGUCUGAGACUGGGACCUCCGGAGGCCCCAACCAGGCUCUCCCCUAGUGGGAAGGCAAGUUCCCAGAGAGCAGGGCUCCACACGUGGGUAGACUGGGCAGGAGAAGCCCCAAGUGGGCCGAUGCCUCCCUCACCAGAGCUUGAAACAAAGAAUUCAACUGCCCUGAAUCCAGAUGUAAAGCCCACAUGUUAGGGAAGCAGCAGCUGUCUCUUGAACAGAUGUGUCUCAUUUCUACCCAGCUGUUUACCAACUCCAAAAUCGAGCUAGAAUAUCUCAUCUUACUGCAAUCUCCCUUCUCUGAC
rnacentral:lncRNA from 14 species